AACCAACUUCUACCAGCACAAAUUAUCUUUUUAGCACCAUUGUUACUGCUCUGUAUAAAAAUUUGUAAGAUGACUGCUUCUGUUUUUUCUAAUGGAGUUAUUGCACAUUCCAAUUCUAAUGCUGUGUCAGUACCAGAACAGGUAACAGGUAGAGGUUACAAAGAACUGUCAGUCACUUGCUGUGCUGUGGAAACACCUUGAUACUGAUGUGUGAAUUUUAAUGCUUCAUUUGCACUUGAUUUGCUGUCAGUGAACCCAGACUGGAUGUUAACUAAUGAGCCAUUUCUAUCUAUCUACACCGAGGGUCCUCUUACAUAGAAGUCGCCAUGUUUUUACAGUAGCCCAAACGGAGAAACUGCUCUACAGACUGUGUUUCGUCACUACAUUGAUUACAUCUGAAAAACAAGCAGAAGAAGAACAACAACAAGUAACAUUAGUAGUAGUAGUAGUAGUAGUAGUCUUAUGGUUUAUUAGAAGAGAAGUGAAAUUUGGACAAAUGGAGGACCACACAUAUUAUUUAACCCAAGAGCCGACCUAACGUGUUGGCCACUGUAGCUUCUCCUGCAUGCUUGGAAAAGAAGGGCUGAGCGGUGACUGAUGGUGCAUUCAUGUGGUAUUGAAAUAAUUGGAUUUAUUUUCAAUUUCCUUUAUUGCAAAAAGAAGAAUAAAGUACAUAAAAAAGUAUAGAAAACAGCGUACAAAUAUAAGAAGACACAAUUAAUAAAAACUUUGCCAGGGGUAGUCUGUAUCAUAUAUACAUAUUAAAAGAGGACCAUGUGUUGAAAGUU